AUUGAGAGCGUUCUUAACAACUGACAACAGCCCAUUGGAGGUAACAUUGCCUAAUGGGCUAAUUACAAUUCAUAAGCCUUCGAGGUAACCAGCUGUAGGAAAUGGCUGCUACGAAGACUCAAAGAAUCCAAGAAGCCACGUCCUGGUGUCAGGUGCAGAUCUUCAGCCUGAUGGGUCGUCGGAGGUGGUGGUGUUCAGCUGACGACUCACGACGACAUACCAACUUAUUUGUAAGUCCAAAGUCCCAGCACUCAGCCGCCUGCCGGCACUGCCCCACAGCUGUGCCUGUGCGCCCCUGGGGGCAGGAGCACAGGAGAGGCCCCUUCCGUGGGGACAGAGCUCUCUCCCUGCACCCCACCACUGCGCAGCCCCGAGCUGGGAGGGGGGACUGAGAGGGGCGGUCAGAUGGGCAGCAGCCCAUCACAGACGACACGCAGG
rnacentral:lncRNA from 1 species